rnacentral:rRNA from 1 species
CAGCAGCCGCGGGAAUACGGAGGGGGCUAGCGUUGUUCGGAAUUACUGGGCGUAAAGCGCACGUAGGCGGUUUUGUAAGUCAGAGGUGAAAGCCCGGAGCUCAACUCCGGAACUGCCUUUGAGACUGCAGAGCUAGCAGGUGAGAGAGGUGAGUGGAGUUCCGAGUGUAGAGGUGAAAUUCGUAGAUAUUCGGAAGAACACCAGUGGCGAAGGCGGCUCACUGGACGACUGUUGACGCUGAGGUGCGAAAGCGUGGGGAGCAAACAGGAUUAGAUACCCCCGUAGUCCCUGUCUCUUAUAC